GAGUGUUUGGUGAGUGUGUUCUUCUUCACUUUCUUCUUCACAACCGGCACGUUUCUAGCGCAAAGAUUCUGCCAGUAUAAACCUGACUGAUUGCUUUUGAAAUCCUUGACAGUGAGAUUUGCUUUUGUUUAAAGAAUGAGUAAUUUGAAAGAAAGGGAGGUAAAAAGCCAAUAUCAGUGGAUGAUCACAUUACUGAGUGGACCAGGUUUUAGCUACUUUUGGUCUCUCAAAAUUAUACUCUGAAGCAAAACAUCAUUUCUAGCACGGAAUUGUAUGGUUAGGCAGUGACAAAGUAUACAUUCCUGGCUUGAAUGUCUAAAUACAAACAUUUUCACAAAUGGCUUUUCUAUUUUGUGGUCUCUCCAAAUUCUGUUUGUGAGUGGUUGUUAUUAUUUGCUGUGGAAGUUUUGAAGUUUAAAAUGAAAAAUGAGAACGCUGUGAUUGUAGGUGCUUUGAAGUACAAUAGAGUUCGAGUACAGUACUCUGUUUGCUGUAGAAGCAAAGCAGUAGCUUGUAGUUUCAUGUUUUUAUCCUUUUUCUCCCCUCAAGGUCCUCCUGUGUGGAAUGCAGGAAAUUGAUUUAAAUGACUGGCAGAGGCAUACCAUCUACAGGCAUUAUACCAGAACCAGCAGACAGAUACUGUGGUUCUGGCAGUUUGUAAAAGAAAUAGAUAACGAAAAGAGAAUGAGACUUCUACAGUUCGUUACUGGAACAUGCAGAUUACCAGUGGGAGGAUUUGCUGACCUCAUGGGGAGCAAUGGACCCCAAAAAUUUUGUAUUGAGAAAGUUGGGAAGGAAAACUGGUUACCUAGAAGUCACACCUGUUUCAAUCGCCUAGACCUUCCACCCUAUAAGAAUUACGAGCAGUUGAAGGAGAAGCUGUUAUUUGCAAUUGAAGAAACAGAAGGAUUUGGACAGGAAUAGCUGUGAUUUGCACCUUGAAGAAUGUGAACUCCACACGAUGUUCUUCUUCACUUCUUCUGCUUGUUGCACACUUCAUUGUAAAGUAGACUUGACUUGGAUUUAUUUAACAACACUAGUGUGUAAGUCAAUGGAUGUUAUCCUGAGGUUUUAUCCACAUUAACUCUGGAUUUCUACUGAGCACUUUCAGAAAUCAAAAGAGCGAUCAGAUAUGGCUAUCAAGGAGUUAUGACCCAAGUAGAGAUUUAAUACAGCUUUGCGCUCUGCUUUGUUUUACCUUUCAUUACUUAGAAUGUGUCCUUAAUGACUGACAGGUUUUUUAAAAUAGUUUUGUCUUUCCUUUUUAGUAGCAUAUUUUGCUACUGAUGUACUGGGAAGUUCAUUAGUAGCUGCAAUGCUGCAGCAACAUCAUAACCUCUUUACAGCAGUGUUAUUAGGCCGACUUGUGACCGUCCUCUGCCUACUGUGAGCAAAUUCAUCGCUUAAGCUAUUUUUUUAACUCAAGUGUGGCUGGACUGUUUUUCCUUGCCCGGAGUCUGCUCACGUGCCAGUGGGACUCAGACUGCUGUUAAGGGGAUGUCAAACUGUGGCACAAAUCCAGGGCGUAGCUUUGUUUUGUUUUUCUCACAGUCUUGUGAAUUUCAGCAAAAUAAACGUCUGCCCAAAGUUGCUGGAACGUUUGCUUGUGCCCUCCGAAGAGUUCUGAUCUUUUUCUGUGUAACACAUCUAACCUCUACAACUGUGUUAACGCUGUGGUUCUUCCCUUGUUUUGCAAAAGACGAGACCGCCUGGGAUUGCACUGAUUCAAUGUAGAUUCCCAUUUGCAGACUGAUGUUUCUUGUGGGAAGUGUUAAUGGACAUUAUACUCAGUGUUAUUCUUCCAUGUUGCAGUCAGUUUUCUCUGAAGACUUUGUUGGUUUCUCAGGAAGAGGUACAAAAUAGCUGGAUUUUAAAAAUGAUAAUACUUAUCAUUUUUGGUGAGGAACUGAUAAUGCCACAUUAGCUAAGAUCAGAGGACUUGGAAGUUUAUACACGGAUUCCAGACUUUUGACGUGUUGGAGCAUCAGAAAACAGUUCUAUAAAGAUUAGAACAAGUUCUUGGGGAAGAUUUCUGUGCUAGGUCACCCUAAGCUGCUCACACAGCUAGUAACUUUUGUAAUAAGUCCUUACUGGAUUUAUAGCAUGUUUUGCUUCCUUUUCGAAUCUGUUAAUAUUCAGUUCUCUUCUGGUUUACAGUGACAUUUUAUUGCUCCUUUAGACUGAAUGCACUUUUCAGGUAUGGUCAGCUCCUUCCUUAUCUGAAGGGAGGAAAGGAAACGUCUGUGAGUCGAUGUGGCUGUUAGCCGUAGUCAGAAACGUGGCUCUUGAAGUAGCACAGGUUAAAGCAUAACUGUAGCUCAGAGCACUGGGACAGCAGCAGCUGUUCUGAAGAGGCUUCUUAUGCUGGAGCUGAACCAGGACAACGGGAAACCAGAACCGAAUCUCCAGUCUUGAAGAGAGCAUUUCCUUCCUUCUGUCUGAACUGCCAGAGGGAAAAUCUGAUUCAGGCCUUUUAAGAACCAAGGCAUUACAGUUUUAACUGACCUUCUGAAAGAGAUUUUCAAGUUGAAGUGAUACGUGCUCACUGGAAAUAAGAAUAAUAAGACCUUAGAGAAAAUGCCUCCUUUUUUCAUGUGUAUUCUAGCAAGAGCAGUGGGAAAGAGUUUCUGAUGAUCCAGGGAUUAUCCUCUUUCACCUUUUCACUGGCGGUGAAAGCUAGCCUUGCUUCACAGUUUUACUAGGAGGAAAAUAUGCCAAUUUCAAGACAUUUGAUGGCUAUUUUACCAUAUACAGCUCACAAGGAGAAGAAAAAAGCCUUAUAAAUAAUCUGUUUAUAUUAAUUCUUACAGUGAAAUCUAGUUAUCUAACAUAUUUACAAGAGAGAUUGAAUUAAACAGGAUAAUGCAAAAUUAAGCUACGAAACAUAGUUUGUGUUCUGCAUAAUGAUUUAUGAUUCAUGUAGGGAAGCUAGAAAUGUUGGUAAUGUAUAAAUAUCACCCAAAAGGCUUUCAGCCCUAUAUUUUUAAAAUAAAAAAUAGUUAUAAUUGAAAUAGCUUAGCCCUAGUUCUAUAGGGUAUGGCUGUUUGAUAUUUUUAUGGUUGAAAUGUUUAGUUCAGGAAAAAGGUAAAUGCUUGUAUAUAUUUUUGCAGUCUCGGAUUCCACUUGCUCCAUUUUUUCUUUCUUUAAUUUAAGUGGCAUGUUUGUGUCUUUCCUGCUGUAUUAGGAUGGGGAGAGGGGGCUGGAUAUCCCAAGCACCAGAAAUGAUUUUAGAAUACUACAAACAAAGAAUCAGCUGGGAGAAAAAGUCUGUGAAACAUUGUAUUUGGCCAAUAAUUAAAGUAAGCUAGUACUAGCUUGAUGAAUUGGCAAUGUUCUUCAAGUCUGAGCUAAAGUUUACGUAAACCUUUUACUUUGUAAGCUAACAAGCCUGUUAAUUUUUUAUAGCGUGUUCUGUAGAAAUAAAAAGUUGUCAAUAUGAACCAGCGGUGCACUUUUCUGUUCUUUAUGGGGAUGUGGUGGAAACAUCACGUGGAUGACCCACAGCAUCUGCUAUCCCACAUAACAUUGGGCUUCCAGCAGAGGUGAAUGAAUUUGUCUCCCACUGCUCCUCCCACCACUGCUUGAGCAGCCUGAGCUGUGUGAAUUGAUACUGCAUAACAAAUGCGUGCUCAUAUGUAGCUGCCAAUUAAUCCUAAUUUUCAAGCAUUAAAAUAACUUCUAUUUAGAAUUUUGCCUUAUGAGAAUGACAUGAAAAAAUGAACGGAAUGCUGAGCUGCUGAUCUAAAGUAACAAAGCCUUAUUGCUCCAGUAGCUCAGGAAGCGUUUGUGUAUGAAACUGCGCAGUAAAUGCGCUGUGUCUUCAUCUGAUCUAGCACUGAAGCUUGUAUUUUAAUGCAUUUAUUUGUGUUCCAGAAAAAGAAAAAAAAACUGAACAAAAAAAACUGUUUCAUUUUUCUUGUUUGCGUUACCACUACAUGCUGCACUGAAUUUGUGAUUUCAACUCUUUGUUAUAUUGGUAUCUCCAGCCCCCUUUCUUGCGGGUGUCUUUUUCAUUUUCUUCAAGAAUCAUUGUUUGUGUAUAUAUGCUCUAGUGAACUAGGACAUAAACUGGGAUCAGCAGCACUGGAUUGUAAAAUACUGUACUGAAAUUCAUUGUCGAAAUUUCCUUGUAUUGUAAUUUCAAAUACUCAGGUAACUGUAACAGUAUCUCAGUAAGUCAAAUACUUUUAUAAAACGACUUAAAGAGAUGGUA